rnacentral:rRNA from 1 species
UACGUAGGGCGCAAGCGUUGUCCGGAAUUAUUGGGCGUAAAGAGUUCGUAGGCGGCUUGUCACGUCGGGUGUGAAAGCCCGGGGCUUAACCCCGGGUCUGCAUUCGAUACGGGCAGGCUAGAGUGUGGUAGGGGAGAUCGGAAUUCCUGGUGUAGCGGUGAAAUGCGCAGAUAUCAGGAGGAACACCGGUGGCGAAGGCGGAUCUCUGGACCAUUACUGACGCUGAGGAGCGAAAGCGUGGGGAGCGAACAGG